GAAUAGUGCCGUUGGUUAAGCACACGCCUCUGGAAAGGGUGAAAUGCGGGUUCGAGUCCCGCCUGACGUCA